UCCCAAAUAGUCUAGGCGGUUAGGAUACGUGGCUUUCACCCACGCGACCCGGGUUCGGGUCCCGGUUUGGGAA
rnacentral:tRNA from 1 species